AGAGUUUGAUCAUGGCUCAGAUUGAACGCUGGCGGCAUGCCUUACACAUGCAAGUCGAACGGCAGCACGGGAGCAAUCCUGGUGGCGAGUGGCGAACGGGUGAGUAAUAUAUCGGAACGUGCCCAAUCGUGGGGGAUAACUACUCGAAAGAGUGGCUAAUACCGCAUACGACCUGAGGGUGAAAGCGGGGGAUCGCAAGACCUCGCGCGAAUGGAGCGGCCGAUAUCAGAUUAGGUAGUUGGUGGGGUAAAGGCUCACCAAGCCAACGAUCUGUAGCUGGUCUGAGAGGACGACCAGCCACACUGGGACUGAGGCACGGCCCAGACUCCUACGGGAGGCAGCAGUGGGGAAUUUUGGACAAUGGGCGCAAGCCUGAUCCAGCCAUGCCGCGUGCGGGAAGAAGGCCUUCGGGUUGUAAACCGCUUUUGUCAGGGAAGAAAAGUUCUGGGCUAAUACCCUGGGAUGAUGACGGUACCUGAAGAAUAAGCACCGGCUAACUACGUGCCAGCAGCCGCGGUAAUACGUAGGGUGCAAGCGUUAAUCGGAAUUACUGGGCGUAAAGCGUGCGCAGGCGGUUAUGCAAGACAGAUGUGAAAUCCCCGGGCUCAACCUGGGAACUGCAUUUGUGACUGCAUAGCUAGAGUACGGUAGAGGGGGAUGGAAUUCCGCGUGUAGCAGUGAAAUGCGUAGAUAUGCGGAGGAACACCGAUGGCGAAGGCAAUCCCCUGGACCUGUACUGACGCUCAUGCACGAAAGCGUGGGGAGCAAACAGGAUUAGAUACCCUGGUAGUCCACGCCCUAAACGAUGUCAACUGGUUGUUGGGAGGGUUUCUUCUCAGUAACGUAGCUAACGCGUGAAGUUGACCGCCUGGGGAGUACGGCCGCAAGGUUGAAACUCAAAGGAAUUGACGGGGACCCGCACAAGCGGUGGAUGAUGUGGUUUAAUUCGAUGCAACGCGAAAAACCUUACCUACCCUUGACAUGUCUAGAAGUUACCAGAGAUGGUUUCGUGCUCGAAAGAGAACUAGAACACAGGUGCUGCAUGGCCGUCGUCAGCUCGUGUCGUGAGAUGUUGGGUUAAGUCCCGCAACGAGCGCAACCCUUGUCAUUAGUUGCUACGAAAGGGCACUCUAAUGAGACUGCCGGUGACAAACCGGAGGAAGGUGGGGAUGACGUCAGGUCAUCAUGGCCCUUAUGGGUAGGGCUACACACGUCAUACAAUGGCCGGGACAGAGGGCUGCCAACCCGCGAGGGGGAGCUAAUCCCAGAAACCCGGUCGUAGUCCGGAUCGCAGUCUGCAACUCGACUGCGUGAAGUCGGAAUCGCUAGUAAUCGCGGAUCAGCUUGCCGCGGUGAAUACGUUCCCGGGUCUUGUACACACCGCCCGUCACACCAUGGGAGCGGGUUCUGCCAGAAGUAGUUAGCCUAACCGCAAGGGGGGCGAUUACCACGGCAGGGUUCGUGACUGGGGUGAAGUCGUAACAAGGUA
rnacentral:rRNA from 1 species